rnacentral:rRNA from 1 species
UACGUAGGGGGCAAGCGUUGUCCGGAAUCAUUGGGCGUAAAGAGCGUGUAGGCGGCUCGGUAAGUCCGCUGUGAAAGUCCAGGGCUCAACCCUGGAAUGCCGGUGGAAACUGUCGAGCUCGAGUCCGGAAGAGGCGAGUGGAAUUCCUGGUGUAGCGGUGAAAUGCGCAGAUAUCAGGAGGAACACCAAUGGCGAAGGCAGCUCGCUGGGACGGUACUGACGCUGAGGCGCGAAAGCGUGGGGGAGCAAACAGG